rnacentral:rRNA from 1 species
UGGGGAAUAUUGCACAAUGGGUGCAAGCCUGAUGCAGCCAUGCCGCGUGUGUGAAGAAGGCCUUCGGGUUGUAAAGCACUUUCAGCGGGGAGGAAGGCGUUAAGGUUAAUAACCUUGGCGAUUGACGUUACCCGCAGAAGAAGCACCGGCUAACUCCGUGCCAGCAGCCGCGGUAAUACGGAGGGUGCAAGCGUUAAUCGGAAUUACUGGGCGUAAAGCGCACGCAGGCGGUCUGUCAAGUCGGAUGUGAAAUCCCCGGGCUCAACCUGGGAACUGCAUUCGAAACUGGCAGGCUAGAGUCUUGUAGAGGGGGGUAGAAUUCCAGGUGUAGCGGUGAAAUGCGUAGAGAUCUGGAGGAAUACCGGUGGCGAAGGCGGCCCCCUGGACAAAGACUGACGCUCAGGUGCGAAAGCGUGGGGAGCAAACAGG